AGUGCUGAACCUGGACCAGUGAGAGAGAGGAAGAGGAGUGGUGUUUGUGAUGAGGAGCAGCUGUCCUGCUGUGCUUUGUGUCAGGACGUCCUGAAGGAUCCAGUCUCUACCAGCUGUGGACACUGGUUCUGCAGACAGUGCAUCUCCUCAUACUGGGACCAGUCUGCUUCAUCGGGAGACUCCUCCUGUCCCCAGUGUGGAGAAAGAUCCAGAAGCAGAGCUGGACUGCAGACAGCCAGUCAGAGCAGCUGUGUACAAACAGAUGUUGGUCUGCAGG